rnacentral:misc_RNA from 1 species
AUUUAAUAAGACUUAAGCACUUACCUAAAAAAUUCAAGUCAUAAUUGACUAUUCAUUUUAAUUUCGUUUGUAAGAGAUAUAAUUUCCCUUUAAAUUGUAUGUUUAGUUUUUGUUGGUCUUCUGAACUUCUUGUGUUGUGCUUCCUUUGUAUUGUUCAUCUUCCUUUGGCAAUUGGUGGUGCUUCUGCUGGGUAAUCCAUGUUUUAUGCUCUGUUGAUGUCGCUCAUCAUGAGUGCAGCCGUGUCCUUAAACUUUUCCAGCUUUGGUGCUGGAUCAACCACUUGAUAAUUUACUACUUUCUUUUAGUGGCUUUGGGCCCUCUUGUUUGGGUUUGGGCGUAG